rnacentral:rRNA from 1 species
UGGGGAAUAUUGCACAAUGGGCGAAAGCCUGAUGCAGCGACGCCGCGUGAGGGAUGACGGCCUUCGGGUUGUAAACCUCUUUCAGUAGGGAAGAAGCGAAAGUGACGGUACCUGCAGAAGAAGCGCCGGCUAACUACGUGCCAGCAGCCGCGGUAAUACGUAGGGCGCAAGCGUUAUCCGGAUUUAUUGGGCGUAAAGAGCUCGUAGGCGGUUUGUCGCGUCUGCCGUGAAAGUCCGAGGCUCAACCUCGGAUCUGCGGUGGGUACGGGCAGACUAGAGUGAUGUAGGGGAGACUGGAAUUCCUGGUGUAGCGGUGAAAUGCGCAGAUAUCAGGAGGAACACCGAUGGCGAAGGCAGGUCUCUGGGCAUCUACUGACGCUGAGGAGCGAAAGCAUGGGGAGCGAACAGGAUUAGAUACCCUGGUAGUCCAUGCCGUAAACGUUGGGCACUAGGUGUGGGGAACAUUCCACGUUUUCCGCGCCGUAGCUAACGC